AUGCACACUUUGUUGGCAAAUAUUCAGAAUCUAGAAUGAUGCAGAGGAGAUUAGCAUGGCCCCUGUAUCAGGAUGAAAGACAAAUUAGUGAAUCUGAAAGUUUUCAU
rnacentral:snRNA from 1 species